UACAGAGGUGCGAGCGUUAAUCGGAAUUACUGGGCGUAAAGCGUGCGUAGACGGUUAUUUAAGUCGGAUGUGAAAGCCCCGGGCUCAACCUGGGAAUUGCAUUCGAGACUGAAUAGCUAGGGUGCGGUAGAGGGAAGCGGAAUUUCCGGUGUAGCGGUGAAAUGCGUAGAUAUCCGGAGGAACACCGGUGGCGAAGGCGGCUUCCUGGACCGACACUGACGCUGAUGCGCGAAAGCUAGGGGAGCAAACGGG
rnacentral:rRNA from 1 species